rnacentral:rRNA from 1 species
UACGGAGGGUGCAAGCGUUAUCCGGAUUCACUGGGUUUAAAGGGUGCGUAGGCGGACACUUAAGUCCGUGGUGAAAUCUCUGGGCUUAACCCAGAAACUGCCAUGGAUACUAUUUGUCUUGAAUGUUGUGGAGGUUAGCGGAAUAUGUCAUGUAGCGGUGAAAUGCUUAGAUAUGACAUAGAACACCAAUUGCGAAGGCAGCUUACUACACAAUGAUUGACGCUGAGGCAUGAAAGCGUGGGGAUCAAACAGG